rnacentral:rRNA from 1 species
GACAGGGGAUACAAGCGUUACUCGGAAUUACUGGGCGUAAAGCGUCUGUAGGUGCCUAAGAAAGUCUGGGGUAAAAACUCAGGGCUUAACCCUGAGAGCGUCUCGGAACUCCUUAGGUUGAGCAGUGGAGAGGCAUCUGGAAUGCCACAUGUAGGAGUAAAAUCCGUAGAUAUGUGGUAGAACGCCAAAAGCGAAGGCAGGAUGCUAGCCACUUGCUGACACUGAGAGACGAAAGCGUGGGGAGCAAAGGGG